UACGAAGGGGGCGAGCGUUAUUCGGAAUCACUGGGCGUAAAGCGUGCGUAGGCUGUUCAGCAAGUCAGAAGUGAAAGCCCAAGGCUCAACCUUGGAAGCGCUUUUGAAACGCCGGACUUGAAUUGGGAGAGGAUGAGCGGAAUUCUCAGUGUAGCAGUGAAAUGCGUAGAUAUUGAGAGGAACACCAGUGGCGCAAGCGGCUAUCGUGGACCAACAUUGACGCUGAGGCACGAAAGCGUGGGGAUCAAACAGG
rnacentral:rRNA from 1 species